CAAAGACUUGAUUUUUAAAACUAACUUAUUAACUCAAUCAAAUACUAGAAAUAAGGAAUUUCUGUAGUAGUGGCUUUAACAGGGUGCAUCUGCGCUAUCUCAAGUGCAUCGCCAAAGCAGCGUCAGGGUAGUGCAAAGCAGCUAUGAGGUGCCUUGGCACAACUCCACAGGGAACAUCCGAGGGGCAAUGUGCGGGUGCUAUUGGGUGCCAAGGAGGAGUCGACAACGAUGGGAGUGGAUGAUGGCGAUGAAGGUGGUGGUCGGUGAGAAAGUGUAGCUCUUGGAGUAGGGUUUUGCGAGCAGCGUGAGCUUCACUACUACAAAGGUAAAUGAUGGCGGAUCUGGGAAGAUUUUGUUACUAUCAGGUGUCGGAGUUUUGUUGGUCUGAAGUCGAAAAAUUUUGGGCAAGUUUUGUUGGUUGUGUGGCUGUGAUAGUGGUGGUGUAGGCUGUGAUGAUGGUGGUCGUAUUGGUGGCGCUGGUUAUAUUUUUGGGUGAGUUUUGUUGGUUGUGUGCAAUUAGUGGUACUGGUGAUAGCAUUGGCAAUGCUUUGAGGUGGUGGUGAUGUUAGUGGCGUUGAUUUUUUUUAUUUAUUUUUUUGGGUGGGUUGUGGUAGUGGGGAUGGUGUUGGGUGGAAAGAAAAAAUAUUUUGAC
rnacentral:lncRNA from 1 species